rnacentral:tRNA from 2 species
GCCAGCGUCGACAAGUGGGAAGUCAGGGCUUUCGCAAAUCCCCACCCGGAGGUUCGAUUCCUCCCGCUGGCU